rnacentral:rRNA from 1 species
GACGAACGCUGGCGGCGUGCUUAACACAUGCCAGUCGAACGGAAAGGCCCUGCUUUGGUGGGGUGCUCGAGUGGCGAACGGGUGAGUAACACGGGAGUAACCUGCCCUGGACGUUGGGAUAACUUCAGGAAACUGGGGCUAAUACCGGAGAGGAGCUCCUGCUGCAGGGUGGGGGUUGGAAAGUUUCGGCGGUUGGGGAUGGACUGGCGGCUUAUCAGCUUGUUGGGGGGGUAGUGGCCUACCAAGGCUUUGACGGGUAGCCGGCCUGGGAAGGUGACCGGCCACAUUGGUCCUGCGAUACGGCCCAGACUCCUACGGGGGGCAGCAGUGGGGAAUAUUGCACAAUGGGCGGAAGCCUGAUGCAGCAACGCCGCGUGCGGGAUGACGGCCUUCGGGUUGUGAACCGCUUUCGCCUGUGACGAAGCGUGAGUGACGGUAAUGGGUGAAGAAGCACCGGCUAACUACGUG